rnacentral:rRNA from 1 species
AAAAAGCUUAAAUUUUUUUAAAAGACGAGAAGACCCUAUAGAGUUUAAUUUUUUUAUUUUAUAUAAUAUUUAGAAUUUAAAAUUAUAUAUUUUAUAAAAAUUUAAUUGGGGUGAUUGAAAAAUUUAAUAAACUUUUUUUAUUUUUAUUUAUAAAUUUAUAUAUUUUUGAUCCAUAGAAAAUGAUUAUAAGAUUAAAUUACCUUAGGGAUAACAGCGUAAUUUUAUUGGAGAGUUCAAAUCGAUAAUAAAGAUUGCGACCUCGAUGUUGGAUUAAAAUUAAAUUUUGGUGUAGCAGCUAAAAGAUAAAGUCUGUUCGACUUUUAAAAUUUUACAUGAUCUGAGUUUAAACCGGUGUAAGCCAGGUUGGUUUCUAUCUUUAAAUAGUUAAUAUAUUUUAGUACGAAAGGAUUAAAUAUAUAUAA